GAUGAUCGCUUGCGUUCUAAUUUUAGGUAACGUAAGAGGAAAGUCCGGGCAGCGUAGAACAAGAUAGUUGCUAACGGCAACCGGGGGCGACCCUAGGGAAAGUGCCACAGAAACAAAACCGCCUCGCCAAAAGCCAGUGCUGCAAGGUCGUUUACGGCUCGGCAGUUACUGAGAGGUAAGGGUGAAAAGAGUGCCGUGCUUUUUCGGCGCGGGGCGAACUGUCUUCUCGUUUUUUGUGAAGGCAAGCGCCGGGUAAGAGCCCACAGCGACGCAUGGUGACAUGCGAAGGAGGUAAACCCUGUCUGCUGCAAGGAGGUGCUGGCGCAUUGGCUGUUCGCCAGUCGGCAUCGUUAUCCGCUUGAUCCGCUCGGCAAUGGGCGGGCUAGAUAGAUGAUCAUCCACGACAGAACCCGGCUUACCGGUG
rnacentral:RNase_P_RNA from 1 species